rnacentral:rRNA from 1 species
GAUGAACGCUGGCUGCGUGCCUAAUACAUGCAAGUCGAGCGAACGGACGAGAAGCUUGCUUCUCUGAUGUUAGCGGCGGACGGGUGAGUAACACGUGGAUAACCUACCUAUAAGACUGGGAUAACUUCGGGAAACCGGAGCUAAUACCGGAUAAUAUUUUGAACCGCAUGGUUCAAAAGUGAAAGACGGUCUUGCUGUCACUUAUAGAUGGAUCCGCGCUGCAUUAGCUAGUUGGUAAGGUAACGGCUUACCAAGGCAACGAUGCAUAGCCGACCUGAGAGGGUGAUCGGCCACACUGGAACUGAGACACGGUCCAGACUCCUACGGGAGGCAGCAGUAGGGAAUCUUCCGCAAUGGGCGAAAGCCUGACGGAGCAACGCCGCGUGAGUGAUGAAGGUCUUCGGAUCGUAAAACUCUGUUAUUAGGGAAGAACAUAUGUGUAAGUAACUGUGCACAUCUUGACGGUACCUAAUCAGAAAGCCACGGCUAACUACGUGCCAGCAGCCGCGGUAAUACGUAGGUGGCAAGCGUUAUCCGGAAUUAUUGGGCGUAAAGCGCGCGUAGGCGGUUUUUUAAGUCUGAUGUGAAAGCCCACGGCUCAACCGUGGAGGGUCAUUGGAAACUGGAAAACUUGAGUGCAGAAGAGGAAAGUGGAAUUCCAUGUGUAGCGGUGAAAUGCGCAGAGAUAUGGAGGAACACCAGUGGCGAAGGCGACUUUCUGGUCUGUAACUGACGCUGAUGUGCGAAAGCGUGGGGAUCAAACAGGAUUAGAUACCCUGGUAGUCCACGCCGUAAACGAUGAGUGCUAAGUGUUAGGGGGUUUCCGCCCCUUAGUGCUGCAGCUAACGCAUUAAGCACUCCGCCUGGGGAGUACGACCGCAAGGUUGAAACUCAAAGGAAUUGACGGGGACCCGCACAAGCGGUGGAGCAUGUGGUUUAAUUCGAAGCAACGCGAAGAACCUUACCAAAUCUUGACAUCCUUUGACAACUCUAGAGAUAGAGCUUUCCCCUUCGGGGGACAAAGUGACAGGUGGUGCAUGGUUGUCGUCAGCUCGUGUCGUGAGAUGUUGGGUUAAGUCCCGCAACGAGCGCAACCCUUAAGCUUAGUUGCCAUCAUUAAGUUGGGCACUCUAAGUUGACUGCCGGUGACAAACCGGAGGAAGGUGGGGAUGACGUCAAAUCAUCAUGCCCCUUAUGAUUUGGGCUACACACGUGCUACAAUGGACAAUACAAAGGGCAGCGAAACCGUGAGGUCAAGCAAAUCCCAUAAAGUUGUUCUCAGUUCGGAUUGUAGUCUGCAACUCGACUACAUGAAGCUGGAAUCGCUAGUAAUCGUAGAUCAGCAUGCUACGGUGAAUACGUUCCCGGGUCU